rnacentral:rRNA from 1 species
GAUGAACGCUAGCGGCAGGCUUAACACAUGCAAGUCGAGGGGCAGCGGGGUGUAGCAAUACACCGCCGGCGACCGGCGCACGGGUGCGUAACGCGUAUGCAACCUGCCCGUAACAGGGGGAUAACGGGGAGAAAUUCCCACUAAUACCCCGUAUAGCGGAGGGGCCGCAUGGUUCUUCGGCGAAAGCUUCGGCGGUUACGGAUGGGCAUGCGUGGCAUUAGGUAGUUGGCGGGGCAACGGCCCACCAAGCCUACGAUGCCUAGGGGAGCUGAGAGGCUUAUCCCCCACACUGGUACUGAGACACGGACCAGACUCC